GUUAAAGGGUGAACCCCAUUUAUACCACUCUUUUUCAAAUUUAAAAUCUUAUUUUAAAAUCUUAUUUUGAAACCAAAUGCAGCAUUAGUAAUUGACCUAAUUUUUUUAUUUUUAAAAUGUGCCCCACCCGAUUACUAUUCAUUAUAUUUCUCUUUUCCUCCUCACCCGGGUACUGUUCAUCAUCUUUCUCUCCUCGACUCCACGAUUUUCUCCGAAUCAAACUUUGUUGGGAGACCCGGGUACUAUUCGUCGUCUUGAUCAACCUGGGUAUGGGAGAUUGUUCAUCGUCUGGAGCAGAGAGAGAGGGAGGGGAAAGAGUCGAACCUCGUAGCACAGCCCCACAGCCGACGCACUAGUAAACAGAGUAGUUCUCGAGCUCAGACAACACAUUCUCAAACUUGGCGCACCGAACCACCUUGCCCAUCUCCGCCAUUGCAGAGGGGAAGCAAGCUCAGUUCAAACAAGAACAAAAGGGGGUGAGCUUUUUUCCAGCGAUGGGGGACGUAUGGAAGAGAGUCAAAUCACGGGGUGGGCAUUCCUCAUCAGAGACUCAGAAGAAAACAUGCAGCUGCUGCUGAAAAGUGAACAAUCAGAGAGAGCUUAUAUGGAAAAAUCUGAGCUUUGGGGGUUUUCUUUCAUUGAUGGGUGGAGGGAUUCUGCAGAGGAAAGGGAGAGAGUGUGCAAGAAAGAGUAGGAGACGACGACAUGGUACAUUGUUGUUGUUGGUGUUGUUGCAGUUCCUAACGAUCACGGACAAUGGUAGCCAACGGACAUAGUUAAGUUAGGGAGGGACUUUGGAAUCGAACCAUCAAAGGUGUGAAAAGCAAGAAGACAACAACGGCGUCGUCUCCCACUAGGUCGCUUUUCUUGAGCUCGGGCAGCACAUUCUCGCACUUGAGGCACCGAGGCUUGAUCAAGACGAUGAGCAUUACCCGGGUCUUCAAGCAAAGCUUGAUUUGGAGAAGUUCGUGGAGUCGCGAAGAGGAAGACGAUGAAUAGUAUCUGGGUGAGAGAGGGAAAGAGAAAGAUGAUAACAGUAACUGGGUGCGGCAUAUUUCAAAAAUAAUAAAAAGUCUGGGUCAAUUACAAACAAGACCUAAGAUCCUUCAAGGAGGAAAUAACAAAAAAAAGUCACGUCAGACGAUUAUGUUUUAUAUUUCACGGAACCUGGACGGAAUGGUUACGCUGAUGUAACUUUCAAUUGUCAAGGUUUAAUUUGAUGUAAAAAUUGGGUCGAAGUGCAGUUGAGACAAUUUUCAUC